rnacentral:rRNA from 1 species
AUUGAACGCUGGCGGCAGGCCUUACACAUGCAAGUCGAACGGCAGCACAGAAGAGCUUGCUCUUUGGGUGGCGAGUGGCGGACGGGUGAGUAAUGUCUAGGAAACUGCCCGAUGGAGGGGGAUAACUACUGGAAACGGUAGCUAAUACCGCAUAACGUCGCGAGACCAAAGUGGGGGACCUUCGGGCCUCACACCAUCGGAUGUGCCCAGAUGGGAUUAGCUAGUAGGUGGGGUAAUGGCUCACCUAGGCGACGAUCCCUAGCUGGUCUGAGAGGAUGACCAGCCACGCUGGAACUGAGACACGGUCCAGACUCCUACGGGAGGCAGCAGUGGGGAAUAUUGCACAAUGGGCGCAAGCCUGAUGCAGCCAUGCCGCGUGUAUGAAGAAGGCCUUCGGGUUGUAAAGUACUUUCAGCGGGGAGGAAGGCGGUGAGGUUAAUAACCUUGCCGAUUGACGUUACCCGCAGAAGAAGCACCGGCUAACUCCGUGCCAGCCGCCGCCGUAA